UUUCUCCUCUUCAUUCGUUAUACGGUAAUCUCCCUCGUCAAAAGGGAUUUAUCGGUGAUCUUGUCACGUGCCAGAAUUGCGCGAGAUACAAUAAAUUCAAGACAUGCAGCUACUCGACUUGGAAAUCGGCGUCAUCUUUGAAAUACAGCAGGUUUUGUGGUGUUUUGCAGCGUGCAGGAUGUCAUUUCAUUUUUUGUGCCGAAAGCUUUGCACCUCGACUGAGAAGAUGCAGCUUUACAGGCUUCAGUUUCUGAACUGCUACUUUAAAACAGAUUUGUCAGGUGUGCCUUGGGAAAACAAACAGUUGUGACUAUGGUGACAUAGUUAUGAAAGAAACCGGUCACCUUCGUGGAUGAUAAAAUAACAACACAGCUGGCUUGGAUGGCAGUCUUCUGGAAUAAUAUCAUCAUCAUCAUAAUGUCUUCAGGCACAAGCCAGAGGGGGAACUGAUAUUCAUAAUGAAAGAUACAUUUUCAUUAAACAACAAAGGCACCGGGCAUCAUACCAAUACAUAGUUUCUGUUUAAUCAUUAAUAAA